GACGAACCGUGCGAACGUUGUUCGGAAUCACUGGGCUUAAAGGGCGCGUAGGCGGGCUGCCGAGUCCGGGGUGAAAGCCCCCCGCUCAACGGGGGAAGGGCCUCGGAUACUGGCGGCCUGGAGGCGGGUAGGGGCGGGCGGAACUGUGGGUGGAGCGGUGAAAUGCGUUGAUAUCCACAGGAACUCCGGUGGCGAAGGCGGCCCGCUGGACCCGAUCUGACGCUGAGGCGCGAAAGCCAGGGGAGCGAACGGG
rnacentral:rRNA from 1 species